CCGUGUUGUAGUGGGCACAAGGAAGGGCGUAACUCAUGUCUUUCAGAACAACUGAAACUUUUAGCAUAGAAUAAAGAACCAACAGCAUAGAGUAACAUAGUAAAGGAUAAGAGUGGACCCUCAAGCCGUUUCGCGGCCGAGCGAUGGACUUUUCUUUCUCUAUGCUAUGGAGCUUCGCCGGUUCCGCUAGGUGGCAGAGCACAUCAAGAAAAAUGUGCCUGCGGCUGCGGCUAGCACCUUCACAGGUGGCACGACCCAAUACGUGCGAAGCCUAGACAGGUCUCGUCGCCGGACUCGCGGUUCUGUAAAAUGCGCCCGAGGAUCGUUGCUGGGUUCUUCUGCUAGCGUGUGACACUACUGCUUCGUCGCUGUUUCAUGGAAUCUCCACUAUUUCCUCAAGAUAUGCUCUAGCGCCAAAUGAUAUCAUGCAUAUUCAAGGGCAAGUUUCCAAGUAUCAGAAGAGUUAAAGACGGUUGCAAGGCUUCGAAGAUAGCAGGCACCUGGAGCGGUACAAGUUUACGGACGCUAUUCUACGAUGUCAAAGUGACAUAAGACGUAUUCAUACGCGUUUAUUGCGAAAAGUUCCUUGACCCAUAAUAAGAGAAAUCUACACUCUAAGA